rnacentral:rRNA from 1 species
AUGGAAGGAAAUCAACUGGCUGCUAUCCAAGAAGAAGAAGGGGAAGAAAGAGGAGCCGGGCAAACAGAGGAAUAUCAAGAGGCAGAGGUUCCAGAUCUGGCUUUGAAUCUGCAAGUAAUGAAUAUCUCUGCACCAAGGGUUCAUAAUCUGCGGGCAACACAGCCAUGGACAAUGGGUUCAGAUAAUCUACUCAUUGAAUGGAUAGACCCGGCAGAUGAAUCUAAGACGAAGGAUGAUUACAAGUUCGACCACAUAUAUGUGAGUGUUCGUGUUUAUGGGGUACCAAAAAAUCACAGAUCGCUCCAACUUUUACAGCAAAUCCUCUCUACUGUUGGCAAGCCGUCUGAAUUUCACCCUUUGCAAGAAAGCAUGUUGUUUGCUAGUAGAUCAGACUAUAUUUGGGGAACUACAAAGAUUAGAAUUAGUGAUUCAACUGUGGACAAAAUCAGUUUGACAUUGGAUGAAAAGAACUCUAAAACGGUCUAUCUUUAUUAUGAAAAGGUUGGCAGAAUCUGCUUGUUUUGUGGAGUGAUGUUUCAUACAGUCCAACAUUGCCAGAAGAGGAAUAACAUUAUUAUGGAAAGGGUGAGAAGAGGACAAUCAACAGAUAUGGUGAAUGGGUAA